UCAAGUACUUAGUCAAAGCCAAUGAUCCUAGGGAAGGAGCUAAUGAGUCACAUUGAAGCUGGUGCAUGCAUGAGGUGCAUUACUGGGCAAAUAUUCCUCUGGCAGUUACCCACUACUCAAUUGUAUAUAUAAUAUGACCGAUUAUGGGUUGAAGUCUAUCUGUAGAGUGAGUGAGCUCACUGCCAAAGGAGAUUUGCCCGGCAAUUCAGCUUUGCAAAUUAAUGUUCAUCAUCCACUCCCAUGUGUUCAUGACCUACUACAUCUAGGUAUACAUGUAUGACCUAAUUAUUGAGAAUAAUGCAUCUGUUAGUUUGCUCAGUACUGAUCGAUGUGGUUUGACUGGUUUCUUAUUCGUGAUUUGAGCUUCAGUUAGAAGGAGGACUGGUCCACAUGAGAUAGCCAUGUAUGUACCUCGAGCUAGCGCUGAGGUUGGAUUUUAUUGUAAACCAAAUCCAACUUGGUUCAAGUAUACAUAUUAUUUUAGGAA